GUGCCAGCAGCCGCGGUAAUACGUAGGACCCGAGCGUUGUCCGGAUUUACUGGGUGUAAAGGGCGUGUAGGUGGGCGCCUAAGUCGAUGGUGAAAUCCUGCGGCUCAACCGUAGAAUUGCCGUCGAUACUGGGCGUCUUGAGUACGGCAGAGGGAGAUGGAAUUCAUGGUGUAGCGGUGAAAUGUGUAGAUAUCAUGAAGAACACCGGUAGCGAAGGCGGUCUCCUGGUCCGUUACUGACACUGAGGCGCGAAAGCGUGGGGAGCAAACAGGAUUAGAAACCCCGGUAGUCC
rnacentral:rRNA from 1 species